UUAUUAUAAUGAAAAAGAAUUAAUAAAGAUUAAAUGGAAACAUUAAAUUUAAAUAAUUUGGCGGUAUUUUAAAGAGUUAGAGGAAUUUGUUUAGUAAAUGAUAAUCCACGAUAGGAGGGUCUUAAUAAAAUUUUUAUGUAUUGUUGUUUUAAAAUUAUUUUAUUAGGAAUAUAAUUAGUAAGUUUAUUUUAGUAUUAAUUCAAAUCAAAAUGUAGAAUUAUUAAGAGAUAAUGAAUUACAUUUAAAUAAAAAUUAAUUUUAAUUAUUAAAAUAAGUGAAUUUAAUAGUAAAUUUAUAAAAUUUUAUAACUUGAAAUUUA
rnacentral:rRNA from 1 species